GUUAUUUUACUUACUCCGUG
rnacentral:snRNA from 1 species